UCUUUAUCAACCGAAAUUGGUUACACUUAGCUGGGUAUUAAAAGGGAAUCGUGUGUAAAUCACGAACUGUCGCGCAACUGUAAGUAACACUCAAAAAGGUUUUUAUCUAUCAAGGUCCACUGUUCGUUUUUGCGAAUGGGAAGGACGAUAAAAAUCGUUACAAGUCAGGAGACCUGCCUAUUUCGAAUUGACGAU
rnacentral:ncRNA from 2 species